rnacentral:lncRNA from 1 species
AUCAUGUUGACCUAAGGAUUGAUUUUAAUGAUAACAAGAUAUUGAGUGCAAAAGGUAGUAAUUGUAUUUUUCAAGAAUGAUUAUAGGGUUUCUUAAGUGCUCACAAAGAUACAUUAAGUCAAAGAAAAAAUCCUCUCAAAGAAGUUAAGCCAAAAGAGGUUUCAAGAUGAAUUUCAUAAGUUUGGAAGGCCACAUUAUGAAGAAAGCAAAGUAGAAGUGUGCUCACAA